rnacentral:rRNA from 1 species
UACGUAGGGGGCAAGCGUUAUCCGGAUUUACUGGGUGUAAAGGGAGCGUAGACGGCAGCGCAAGUCUGGAGUGAAAUCCCAUGGCUUAACCAUGGAACUGCUUUGGAAACUGUGCAGCUGGAGUGCAGAAGAGGGAAGUGGAAUUCCAUGUGUAGCGGUGAAAUGCGUAGAGAUAUGGAGGAACACCAGUGGCGAAGGCGGCUUCCUGGUCUGCAACUGACACUGAGGCGCGAAAGCGUGGGGAGCAAACAGG